rnacentral:lncRNA from 1 species
GUGGAGACUUGGAUCAUCAAGAUGCCUGAGCCUGCGAAGUCUGCGCCCAAGAAGGGUUCCAAGAAAGCGUGACCAAGACCGCCGCCGGCAAGGGGAGGCAAGAAGAGGAGAAAGACCAGGAAGGAGAGCUACGCCAUCUACGUGUACAAGGUGAUGAAGCAGGUUCAUCCCGACACCGGCAUCUCCUCCAAGGCCAUGGGCAUCAUGAACUCCUUUGUGAGCGACAUCUUUGAGCGCAUCGCUGCUGAGGCGUCUCGUCUGGCUCACUACAACAAGCGCUCCACCAUCACGUCCAGGGAGAUUCAGACCGCCGUGCGUCUGCUGCUGCCUGGUGAACUGGCCAAGCACGCUGUGUCCGAGGGCACCAAGGCUGUGACCAAGUACACCAGCUCCAAGUAAACCGCUCUGCUGCUGCUGCAGUCAUCCAACACAACGGCUCUUUUAAGAGCCACACACUUCAUCUGAAAGAGCAAACUGUUCACACUCCUCAGUGUCUGAUGUUUAGAUAGACUGUUAUUGAUGGAUCUCAAAUGUGACAUUGAUGUGAGGUCACAUCUGUACUUACAGAUGUUCACCUGUGACAGUAUCACUCGGGUGUGAACAGGGCCUGUGAUAAAAGGCUGCACACUGUCAGUAAAUGAGCAGCUUUUAGUUUCUCCCGUUGGAACAGCAUCUAGAACCAUGUGACUUUUUUCUUUUAAUGAAUGAUGUUUUACUCAUUUUAAUUGAUUACCGCAAUUUUUCCCUCAGUUUUAACUAUUGCUGUGCUUUUAUUUCGAGCUGUUUUUGUAAUGUUGCAUGGAGUUUCCGACUGCCCCUGAACUACUCACCAGACUUGUCACUGGCAGCAGUGUGAUGCGCAGCACGGUGUUGGCGCAGCAUCCUGUGUCCGUUUGGCGCUAUUUCUCCAGCCUGGGUCGAGAGCAGAGAACGCUGUCGCCCAGGAGGAUUGUGGACGCCGAGCGCAGGGCGAGCAGUCGAGCCGGGAAGGCGCACGGCUGUGCUGAAGAAGAGGAGCGACUCUGCGCCGCAUCCUGGACCUCGUCGGGGAAACGGACACGAAGGACUCUGGACCGGGGUUUUAAUAAUGUUAUUAUAGUAAAUGUUGUCAAGCUCCUAUCUGCAUCUAUGGAUCUGUUUAAAAUCGCCUCACUCCUGAUUUAUUAUAAGAACCGGUGUUGUCCUAGGCUCAUUCCACCCUCUAGGUGGCGUAGUCGGCAUUAUGAAUGAACUAAUCCUCAAAUUGAACUUCGUUUUAAACUUAAGAUCAACAGACACAGCAGUUUAAUGUGUCAUGGAAGUGUAAGUAAUGUAUCAUCAGCACCUCGGUGUUGUCCAACGAGCUCCACACAUCUAUAGAUUUGGGUAGAGCUCAGUAACUUUGUUCUCAGGCCUCACCCGCUCUCUGUUCCUGCCUGGACGUCCUGGUGUACAGAUGAAGUCAAGAGCUGAGCCUCCACUCUCCCCUGAACAGCUCAGGUGGAUCUUUGACAUCUGAGACAUGCAUCUGCUGAUCCAGGACCAGCUCUGGAGAUCCACCCUGUGAUUCUCUCUGCUCAUAUCAGAUACUUGCACUCAUUUUGAAAAUCUCCCUGGUGCGAGGACACGGACCAAAACACACAAUAUGUGACACAAAGGAAGGAGAUUUUAUAGAUCAGAUUGAAUUCCCUCCACACGUUGAGCUCACCAUAUAUGAUGAAUGAAUUCACAUCAAGACAGUCAACAAAUAAAAAAUAACUCACAAUAACUCUGUCAUUUUUGUUUUUUACGUGUGCCGUUGUAUUUUGUAUUUGUCACCUUUUUUUGUUCAAUUCCUAUUUAAUCUAAUAUUUUCAUAAAAGCCCUUCCAGGGACAGAUGUUGGAAAUUAGCAUAUACAGUAAACUGAUACUUUUUACACAGGUGCAGAUUGCAUCUGUCUUGUCAAAUAAACCAAUAGUGUGCAGUAUCACACUUGCUUCUUUUUUAUUAUUAUUUGUUUGAAAAAAAGUGUAAAUGUGAUUUUUUUUUUUGUUUUGUUUUGGUCAUUUCGACAGACCAGGGUGAAAUCAAGAUCUGUGCAUCAUUCACUGAAAAUGUUUCAAACAAUGAGAAAGGCAAACAAACCUGGAUCUGUCACUAACAUAACAUUCCAAAUAUGUUUGCAUAUUUGUGCUGACCAAGGUGAACAGGAGAAAACAAACUCCUCGAUCAAGAGGUGUUUCUUCUUGAUCUUAGUUGAACUACAUCAUCAAUGUGACUUUGAUGCUGUGAAAUAAAUGAUGGUUGUGAAUUAUAUACUCGGUUUAUGAUAUAGGAUCUUGAGGCACAAGGAGCUUUGACCAGGAGAGUGUGUGGCUCUAAAAAGAGCCUUUGUGUUGGAGGUUUCCAGCAGCUAUGUUUAUUUCUUUCAUGUAGUAAAUUAUAGUGAUGUUGAUCCACACUCCAUACCAACUGGUGGCAGUAAUGCACCCAGUUUCUGUUAGUCAACUGCCCAAAAAAACUCAAGAUUUUAAUUUUUGUAAUUUGUGAGCUGCAACUCACCUAUCAGUGAAGGUUUU